rnacentral:rRNA from 1 species
UACGAAGGGGACUAGCGUUGUUCGGAAUUACUGGGCGUAAAGCGCACGUAGGCGGAUUUGUAAGUCAGGGGUGAAAUCCCGGGGCUCAACCUCGGAACUGCCUUUGAUACUGCAAAUCUCGAGUCCGAUAGAGGUGGGUGGAAUUCCUAGUGUAGAGGUGAAAUUUCGUAGAUAUUUAGGAAGAACACCGGUGGCGAAGGCGGCCCACUGGAUCGGUACUGACGCUGAGGUGCGAAAGCGUGGGGAGCAAACAGG